UACAGAGGUCUCAAGCGUUUGUUCGGAUUCAUUGGGCGUAAAGGGUGCGUAGGCGGCGCGGUAAGUCGGGUGUGAAAUCUCGGAGCUUAACUCCGAAACUGCAUUCGAUACUGCCGUGCUUGAGGACUGGAGAGGAGACUGGAAUUCAUGGUGUAGCAGUGAAAUGCGCAGAUAUCAGGAGGAACACCGGUGGCGAAGGCGGUUCUCUGGGCCUUACCUGACGCUGAGGGGCGAAAAGCAUGGGGGAGCAAACAGG
rnacentral:rRNA from 1 species